GUCCCAGAACCAAGGAACUUUUAUAGCAAUAUUUCAUCUUGCCAAAACAUAACUAAUUCACACUAACCUAUUCAGGGCAAAAAUAGAAAAGAGGUAAAAAUAGCUUCUAAGUAGCCAAAUAGGUGUCAAAGAGUCACAAAUUCCAGCUGGAAUGGGCAGUCGUGUGUGCGAUGUCACUCCGGCUUGGGCUGAAAUCUCACGUACUUGUAAGAGACAGCUUUGUUAGCCUGUCCAAUCUCACUUUGCUUACAGUUCUAACUAGCUUGGUAUCCUAGUCACUAUUUCCACAAAUGACAAGGGGAAGGAAGCCACUCAAGGAAGCCACACUGCCAGCUCAAACCAGAAGGGGGACCACAGACGGCAGCAAAAACAACACAGCAGAAACAACAACCCAAAACCUUUUUUAAAAAAUGUCCCAAACAUGCAAAAGAAUACUGGUAUUUUACUGACUCUGUGGAACAGGAGAAGAACGGAGGUUCACAGCCAGAAAGAAUUGUCGCAAUCACGUUCGGAGUGCUCUUUCCAAGGCGUGGAGAUGAAGGAUUUGUUUUUUGCUGUUGUAUCUUUUCACGCAGUAUUGAUUCAGUACCAUUGUUCUUGUUGCGCAAUAUUUUGGAGAGAUUUCCCAAUAUGUAGGUUUCGAAUGAUGAAGACGUUGAUUCUAAAAUCUCUGGGGAACAUCACUGUCCAAACAACUGGUUUCCAUGGAGUUUUAGCCGAGAAGUUUCAUCCAGCAAAUUGGUUGGGUAACCACAGAGAAUGAUUUCUCUGCCUCUCUGCACGAGGGGGUGAUGCUGACCAGACUUCGCCUGUAAACCAGGGCGGUGGUGCUCCAUUUCGUGAGUAUGCGGGGACAGUCACCGGCCAUCCUUGCACAGUGAUGGGUUAAGGCAGAAACUGCCACCUGGAUCAAGAUCUAGAACGUUUCCAGCGCCCCAUGCUCCUUCUCAGUCUAUUAUCAUCUACCCGCCAGUAAGAGAGCUUGGCAGGAAAGCCACCGAGGUCAUUCUGCUGAAGGGGGGAGGCUAAGAUGUGCUGAGGUGAAGUCUCCGACCCCGAGUCCUGGCGGACCUUAGUGGCAAAACUGAAGGGUGAUUUAACAAGAAGCUUUACGAACAACAAUACAUAUUAAUGGCAAAUGGGCUCCCAGUAUUGAGAUCUGUUUAAGUGUUUUUGAUUCUUUAAGCUCACAUAAUGAAGGUACUGACCUAACAAAUAAAUAACUGUUCUUGGAAGAAAACCCCACAUCAGAGUAAAUAUUAACAAAGGACCUGGUUAUGGCACUCAUUGAACUUCAGGAGUUCCUUCAUGAUAUCUAGUUACCUGGGAGGUUGAAUUUUAUUUGGAAUGCUGAUUGGUGAGCACAGAGUAAAAUUUGCCUUGGGAAGAUAUUUAAGUAAACUCUGAAAAGCCAGAUGAAAUAUCUCUACUUCAAACUGAAUACAUCGCUGUGACACCACAGAAUGGAAUCCCCAAAUUCAGUACCUUUUCCAUCAAAAGUAUGAGUUCCUUUGGAGUAGAGAAAGUGAUAAGGAACGAAUCUGAUGAGCUAUAUGUGAUGGGCGGAAUGGCCUCCAAAGGUGUCCAAGCCCUGCUCCCUGGAAUGUGUUUCCUUGCAUGAUAAAAGGGGCUUUGCAUCUGCAAUUAUGGUUAUGGAUGUGGAUAAUCCAGGUGGGCCCUUCGAAGCAGAGAACGGUCUCUGGUUGGAGUCAAAGAUAUACAGUGAAAUAGGAGGCAGGAGAGGGAAUCCAAGAGAGAGGCUCCAAGUGUGAGAAGGGCAUCAAAGUGCUGUUACCCGCCCUGAGCAUAGGGAGACACCUGCCGGGGCGAAGAGAGGUCUCUAGGAGUUGAUGGCAGCUCCUGGCUGACAGCAGGCGAGCAAACAGGGACUUCAAUCCUACAACCGCAAGGAAUGAAAUUCUGACAACUGAAAAAGCUUGGAAGUAGAUUCUUCCCCAGAGCCUCCAGAAAAGAAGGCAGCUCUUGAUUCUGCCUUGUGAGACCUGGAGCAGAGAAAACCCUUGAGCCCUGCUGUGCCCACACUUCUGACCCACGAGAAGUUACAAAAUAAUAAAUGAAUGUUAUUUUAAGCCUG